GCAGAGGCGGAAGUGACUCGGCGCGGCUCGAUAGCCCACGGGCUUGCGCGUUGCCUAGGGUUUACUGGGGCGAGCAAUAAGGUAUUGUCCAGGGCUUUCUCACAGCUCCUAGAGACGGACCUCAGACGUGCAUCACGUGGACCUCUGAAAAAACCAUGGAGCUCAUUGCUCCAAAGCCAACUGGAGAGCUUCUCCCAAUCCUGCUGCUGCUGCUGUUACAGCUGCUUACAACAGCCAUUGUCGUGGCUAGAGUCUUAUAUUCACUGUGACACCAUAGGAGAAAUGAUUCCACUUUUGCUGUCUUACAUGACCUAAUAAAAGGAGGCACAUCCCAUUAUACUCUCAAACCCUGUCUGCACUCAGGGAGAGGUUAUAACCUCAUUAAGGAUCUUUGGAGCCAUUUUUUAGGUCUUGGCAACCAUGGUUCUUGAAUGGGUAACUGCUGGCAGAACAUGAAAUCCUUCCUAAACUGAUUGUCCACUUUUUUCUUUGACAUUCUCUUGAGAACAGCCACUAGUUUCUCAGUGUGCUUAGCAAAUAUGAAUUUACAAUAUAAAUCAAUAUGGACAUUCAUGUUUCACAGACUUCAAAAUUACAUCUAUGAGCAUAUUUUGUCACAUAGUCUUCCUUACAAUUUAAAAUAAAUGCAUUGUAAAAAGUG
ensembl:antisense Gm43159 predicted gene 43159